rnacentral:lncRNA from 1 species
ACAUUACAAAGUUAUGCCCUGGCUGCAUAUAUAUAUGCACAGCCAGCCACCGACCCAACCUAAACCCAAUCCUACUCGUACAGAAACUACUACCUAAACACGCCGGACACAAACAAACCCUAACCGGACUCUACUUUACUGGUUAACUCCUAUCACAACACGGACUAGUACUUCUGCUACUUGCGUGCAACCAGCCACAUGUACUAAUCACCGGCUACCUUGUUCACCAUUAGUCUAAAUCUAGUAUAAACUCCUACUACAUGACUCAACCAAUACUAUGACUAGGACAAGAUUACCUAACAAUCUUCCCCUAAUUUUGACAUGUCAUCUCCUUGCGCUUCCUCUCGUCUUGACUCUUGCAGCUUCGCGACUUGUCGAUCCAAACUUUAACGUACAAUCUGAACUACAAGCCCAUACGAUCGCAUCUACAUGUGCAACAUGCAAGACUGGACGCAUCAUCAGUCUUCACGUCGUUCAACUUAACUGGUCACUGUCCCACUACACGUCGAGCUUGAUCUUCAACCGUCAUAUCCGUACACUGAGUAUGACCCGUCUGAAAACAUGCAACGCACCUCCUUGCCCUGUCAUGUUGUGCCACCGCCAUUGCUUGGCCACUGCCUUGCACUCGGUCCACACCAUACUCCUUGUACUUGCUUGCAAUAGAUGCACUCUUCACUGCUUGCACACCUCCUCGCUUUACGAUGGCUUCGCCUACCAUCGUCCGCCUUCGGCAUCACACCGAAUCCACACUGGCCGCAACCAGGACGCUCCACGAGGACAUGGACAUGACUCACGGAACACCAUGCACACCGCUUCCACUUUAACAAAUCAUCACCAAGACGAGCACUUGGACACGACGACGACUCACAGACGCAACGACAACGACUGACCAUGCAAACUCGCACGACUCCUUAACUCAUCCGACUCCCCAGAUGACGAUCUUGAUGAGCUCCAGCACCGCACCUCGGCACCACCUCGCACAUCAACGAUCUCCUUCCGCCAUCUUGCUGACGACAACCUGUCGUCUCCCUCCUUGUCGCUCCGACGAACGACGAUCACUUGUUCCUCCUCUUCGCCGGAUCAUCCAGCGACUUCAUGGCCCGCCCCGAGGCGCUAGUAGAUCGCCACCCCGGGACAAGCGCUCGAACCUGAACCUUACUCUGAUACCAAUUGUUGGAAUUUCGUCCACAUGAUCGAUCACAUCAAAUCAGGACGAACACGCACACGAAAACUUUGGCCAAGGGCACGUGUCGUGCCCCUUCUUUUUAUUCCUUUUUCUGUUUUCUCUACACACGUUACGAAGUUAUGCCCUGGCUGCAUAUAUAUAUAUAUGCACAGCCAGCCACCGACCCAACCUAAACCCAAUCCUACUCGUACAGAAACUACUACCUAAACACGCCGGACACAAACAAAUCCUAACCGGACUCUACUUUACUGGUUAACUCCUAUCACAACACGGACUAGUACUUCUGCUACUUGCGUGCAACCAGCCACAUGUACUAAUCACCGGCUACCUUGUUCACCAUUAGUCUAAAUCUAGUAUAAACUCCUACUACAUGACUCAACCAAUACUAUGACUAGAACAAGAUUACCUAACAGUAAUACCCCAUCUGAUCCC